GAUGAACGCUGGCGGCGUGCCUAAUACAUGCAAGUCGAGCGAAUGGAUUAAGAGCUUGCUCUUAUGAAGUUAGCGGCGGACGGGUGAGUAACACGUGGGUAACCUGCCCAUAAGACUGGGAUAACUCCGGGAAACCGGGGCUAAUACCGGAUAACAAUUUGAACCGCAUGGUGCGAAAUUGAAAGGCGGCUUCGGCUGCCACUUAUGGAUGGACCCGCGUCGCAUUAGCUAGUUGGUGAGGUAACGGCUCACGAAGGCAACGAUGCGUAGCCGACCUGAGAGGGUGAUCGGCCACACUGGGACUGAGACACGGCCCAGACUCCUACGGGAGGCAGCAGUAGGGAAUCUUCCGCAAUGGACGAAAGUCUGACGGAGCAACGCCGCGUGAGUGAUGAAGGCUUUCGGGUCGUAAAACUCUGUUGUUAGGGAAGAACAAGUGCUAGUUGAAUAAGCUGGCACCUUGACGGUACCUAACCAGAAAGCCACGGCUAACUACGUGCCAGCCGCCGCCGUAA
rnacentral:rRNA from 1 species